rnacentral:rRNA from 1 species
GGGUAGGCAGCAGUAGGGAAUCUUCCGCAAUGGGCGAAAGCCUGACGGAGCAACGCCGCGUGAGUGAUGAAGGUCUUCGGAUCGUAAAACUCUGUUAUUAGGGAAGAACAAAUGUGUAAGUAACUAUGCACGUCUUGACGGUACCUAAUCAGAAAGCCACGGCUAACUACGUGCCAGCAGCCGCGGUAAUACGUAGGUGGCAAGCGUUAUCCGGAAUUAUUGGGCGUAAAGCGCGCGUAGGCGGUUUUUUAAGUCUGAUGUGAAAGCCCACGGCUCAACCGUGGAGGGUCAUUGGAAACUGGAAAACUUGAGUGCAGAAGAGGAAAGUGGAAUUCCAUGUGUAGCGGUGAAAUGCGCAGAGAUAUGGAGGAACACCAGUGGCGAAGGCGACUUUCUGGUUCUUGUAA